rnacentral:lncRNA from 1 species
AGAUAAGUGCAUUUUAUUGUAAUCCUUACUACCUGUACUUCUGUUUGGGAUCUUGGUGUGUACUUGGAAGUAAUUUUAACCACUGUAGAAUCUUAAAUGUUCGUGUACUGAUACCUUUCACCUUCCUUUAGUCACUAAUCACUCCCAAGAGUAAUUGCUGUGUGUGUGAGUUUAUAAGUUAAUUGUAUCUUGCAUUCAUUCAUCAAACUUUUUACUUCUAGUGUCUCCUAUGGGGCAGCACCAUAGAUGUAUUAAAGAAAAGACUGGUCCUCCCAGUCUGGUGGGGAGACAUAGAAGUGAACACACAAUGAUAAUGCAGUGAAUUGACAGAAGAUGCUCAGUCUUUCCAGCAGCACAGAGGAGAGUAUGCAACAUAGGGCUGG